rnacentral:tRNA from 1 species
CGGAAUGUAGUUCAUCGGUAGAACGCUCGGUUCGGGUCCGAGAGGCACCGGGUUCAAUUCCCGGCAUUCCGA